AAUACAGGGCUCCCAGUUAAAAUUGAAUUUUGGAUAAAUAACGAGUAUUUUUUAGUAUAAGUAUGUCCCAUGCAAUAUUUGGGACAUACUUACACUAAAAAAAAUUUUUUUCUUUAAUCUAAAAUUCAAAUUUAACUGGUCAUCUGGUAUUUU
rnacentral:miRNA from 1 species